rnacentral:rRNA from 1 species
UGGGGAAUAUUGGACAAUGGGCGAAAGCCUGAUCCAGCCAUGCCGCGUGUGUGAAGAAGGUCUUCGGAUUGUAAAGCACUUUAAGUUGGGAGGAAGGGCAUUAACCUAAUACGUUGGUGUCUUGACGUUACCGACAGAAUAAGCACCGGCUAACUCUGUGCCAGCAGCCGCGGUAAUACAGAGGGUGCAAGCGUUAAUCGGAAUUACUGGGCGUAAAGCGCGCGUAGGUGGUUCGUUAAGUUGGAUGUGAAAUCCCCGGGCUCAACCUGGGAACUGCAUUCAAAACUGACGAGCUUGCGUAUGGUAGAGGGUGGUUGAAUUUCCUGUGUAGCAGUGACAUGCGUGGAUGUAGGAAGGAACACCGGUGGCGAAGGCGACCACCUGGACUGAUACUGACACUGAGGUGCGAAAGCGUGGGGAGCAAACA